AAAUACGACUCUCGGCAGCGGAUAUCUCGGCUCUCGCAUCGAUGAAGGACGUAGCGAAAUGCGAUACUUGGUGUGAAUUGCAGAAUCCAGUGAACCAUCGAGUCUUCGAACGCAAGUUGCGCCCGAGGCCAUUGGGCCGAGGGCACGCCUGCCUGGGUGUCUCU
rnacentral:rRNA from 1 species